rnacentral:rRNA from 1 species
CCUACGGGAGACAGCAGUGGGGAAUAUUGGGCAAUGGGCGCAAGCCUGACCCAGCAACGCCGCGUGAAGGAAGAAGGCUUUCGGGUUGUAAACUUCUUUUCUCAGGGACGAAGAAAGUGACGGUACCUGAGGAAUAAGCCACGGCUAACUACGUGCCAGCAGCCGCGGUAAUACGUAGGUGGCAAGCGUUAUCCGGAUUUAUUGGGUGUAAAGGGCGUGUAGGCGGGAGCGCAAGUCAGAUGUGAAAACUCAGGGCUCAACCCUGAGCCUGCAUUUGAAACUGUGUUUCUUGAGUGCUGGGGAGGCAAUCGGAAUUCCGUGUGUAGCGGUGAAAUGCGUAGAUAUACGGAGGAACACCAGUGGCGAAGGCGGAUUGCUGGACAGUAACUGACGCUGAGGCGCGAAAGCGUGGGGAGCAAACAGGAUUAGAUACCCGUGUAGUC